AGAGAAGAACGGUAGGCCUCGCGCGGUUUAUUGCUUAUAUACCCAAACAAAGAGUCUGGAAGCCUGCGCGCGAUCAAUCUUACUCGCCAAAAGGUCUGACAGCCUUGUGCCCCGAGAACACAUUUAAACCUUCUAACUCUCUCUUAGAUCAAAUGUGGCCGGGAGGACGGGAGACGCGCUGAGCACUUAAAGCAGAAAGGCGCAUACUCCUCAGCUUUCCUUACCGUUCUUUUUCUUUUUUUUUUUAGAAGAUAAUAUUUUUUUUCAGAGACCAAUAGGCAUAAUUGGUUCUUUGAAACCCCCUUGCUGACUAGGCGUGAUGGAUGUCCCCGCGCGUGGGUGGGGGAGAGCAAGGCCCCAUUACGCUCUUCCACCGACCGCAGGCACCGGGAAGAGGAAAACAUAAAAUCACCAUAAAAAAGAAUAAUCUAGCUUAAUUAAAAUACACACAUUUACGCACAUUUACGCGCGUGCGCCAGUAAAUCUCCGUGUGUUGGGUCGUUUGAUCAGAGGACCAAAUGGUUUCUAUAUCUUUAAUGCUUGCAGGUGAUUGCAAGAAAAUAGUUUUAUUCUGUUAUUAUUAUUAUUAUUAUUAUUAUUAUUAUUAUUAUUAUUAUUAUAUAAAAUAAAAUCAAUGUUCAUGAAUACAAAGAGAUGCUUUUACAUAUUUUUUUUUAAUUUUUAUUUCUUAGAACUGGAGCAGCAUGGAAUGUAAGACAAUAAAAACAUGAUUUUUGCCUUCGAAUAAAAAUCGAUCUUUCGAAUAAACAAACGCAAAACGUCUCGUUCUCCUUCCACUCAAAUCUUAUUGCAUGACUGGUAUUUUUAUAGGUUAAGAGACAGAAGCCCCGGGAAGAAACCAUGCUAUGCCAGACUGCUCGUCACGUGCUCGGCCUCGAGGAGAGACCUCCAGCCGGGCGCCGUGUGCUUUUUUCCCCACUCCGAACAGAUGGGGAUAAAUAAUACUUCAAAACUGUAUUUUUUUUUUUUUUUUUUUAAA